rnacentral:rRNA from 1 species
GAUGAACGCUGGCGGCGUGCCUAAUACAUGCAAGUCGAGCGAACAGACGAGGAGCUUGCUCCUCUGACGUUAGCGGCGGACGGGUGAGUAACACGUGGAUAACCUACCUAUAAGACUGGGAUAACUUCGGGAAACAGGAGCUAAUACCGGAUAAUAUAUUGAACCGCAUGGUUCAAUAGUGAAAGACGGUUUUGCUGUCACUUAUAGAUGGAUCCGCGCCGCAUUAGCUAGUUGGUAAGGUAACGGCUUACCAAGGCAACGAUGCGUAGCCGACCUGAGAGGGUGAUCGGCCACACUGGAACUGAGACACGGUCCAGACUCCUACGGGAGGCAGCAGUAGGGAAUCUUCCGCAAUGGGCGAAAGCCUGACGGAGCAACGCCGCGUGAGUGAUGAAGGUCUUCGGAUCGUAAAACUCUGUUAUUAGGGAAGAACAAAUGUGUAAGUAACUAUGCACGUCUUGACGGUACCUAAUCAGAAAGCCACGGCUAACUACGUGCCAGCAGCCGCGGUAACAC